GGAGUUUCUAACGUGGUCAUGUCUCUCUGCUUUAUAGCCAUGCUUAUAAUUACUGCUGUUAGGAGUAACAUAGACAUUGGCCAGGGUCUUCCGCCGGAUGGAAUUGUGAUUGCUGCGCUGGUUGUAUUUUCUAUUCUUGGGAUCCCACUAGCUAUAACGUACAGUGUUCCAUAUGCUUUAGUAUCCUCAAGGAUUGAAGCUCUUGGGCUUGGACAAGGCUUGUCAAUGGGCG
rnacentral:misc_RNA from 1 species